UCCAGAGGCCUCAAAAUCGACACCAAGAUU
rnacentral:sRNA from 1 species